rnacentral:rRNA from 1 species
GUGCCAGCCGCCGCGGUAAUACGUAGGGUGCAAGCGUUAAUCGGAAUUACUGGGCGUAAAGCGUGCGCAGGCGGUUUUGUAAGACAGGCGUGAAAUCCCCGGGCUCAACCUGGGUAAUUGCGCUUGUGACUGCAAGGCUGGGAGUGCGGCAGAGGGGGAUGGAAUUCCGCGUGUAGCAGUGAAAUGCGUAGAUAUGCGGAGGAACACCGAUGGCGAAGGCAAUCCCCUGGGCCUGCACUGACGCUCAUGCACGAAAGCGUGGGGAGCAAACAGGGAUUAGAUACCCUGGUAGUCCACGCCCUAAACGAUGUCGACUAGCCGUUGGGAUCCUUGUAGAUCUUAGUGGCGCAGCUAACGCAUUAAGUCGACCGCCUGGGGAGUACGGCCGCAAGGUUAAAACUCAAAUGAAUUGACGGGGGCCCGCACAAGCGGUGGAGCAUGUGGUUUAAUUCGAUGCAACCCGAAAAACCUUACCCACCUUUGACAUGGCAG